rnacentral:rRNA from 1 species
AGAGUUUGAUCCUGGCUCAGGAUGAACGCUGGCGGCGUGCCUAACACAUGCAAGUCGAACGUGAUCUUUAUUUCGGUAAAGUGAAAGUGGCGAACGGGUGAGUAACACGUUGGUGACCUGCCCCGAAGCGGGGGAUAACUCUGGGAAACCAGAGCUAAAACCCCAGAUGUUUAAGGGUUUAGACGCCUUAAACUAAAACUCCGGUGCUUCGGGAGGGGCCUGCGGGCUAUCAGCUAGUUGGUAGGGUAAAGGCCUACCAAGGCGAAGACGGGUAGCCGGCCUGAGAGGGUGGUCGGCCACAUUGGGACUGAGACACUGCCCAGACUCCUACGGGAGGCUGCAGUCGAGAAUCUUUCGCAAUGCCCGGAAGGGUGACGAAGCGACGCCGCGUGUGGGAAGAAGGCCUUCGGGUUGUAAACCACUGUCGGGAGUUAAGAAGUGUAAGGGGGUGAAUAGUCCUCUUACUUGACGUUAGCUCCGGAGGAAGCCACGGCUAACUC